UACGGAGGAUGCAAGCGUUAUCCGGAAUUACUGGGCGUAAAGGGCGCGCAGGCGGAUCGAUAAGUGAGGCAUGAAAGCUUCGGGCUAAACCUGGAGAGGCUGUCUGAGACUGUCGAUCUGGAGUGCGAUAGAGGGGUGUAGAAUUCCGCGUGUAGUGGUGAAAUGCGUAGAGAUGCGGAGGAAUACCAGAGGCGAAGGCGGCACCCUGGAUCGUAACUGACGCUGAGGCGCGAAAGCAUGGGGAGCGAACGGG
rnacentral:rRNA from 1 species